AGCAGCCGCGGUAAUUCCAGCUCCAAUAGCGUAUAUUAAAGUUGUUGCAGUUAAAAAGCUCGUAGUUGAAUUUCGGGAUCAAGUCGUCGGUCGUGCCUCGGUACGCACUGGUGACAUUGGUUUCUCCCUUCUGAAGAACCUUGAUGUCAUUAAUUUGGUGUCUUGGGGAAUCAGGACUGUUACUUUGAAAAAAUUAGAGUGUUUAAAGCAGGCUCACGCUUGAAUACAUUAGCAUGGAAUAAUGAAAUAGGACGUUUGAUUCUAUUUUGUUGGUUUCUAGGAUCGACGUAAUGAUUAAUAGGGAUAGUUGGGGGCAUUAGUAUUCAAUUGUCAGAGGUGAAAUUCUUGGAUUUAUUGAAGACUAACUACUGCGAAAGCAUUUGCCAAGGAUGUUUUCAUUAAUCAAGAACGAAAGUUAGGGGAUCGAAGACGAUCAGAUACCGUCGUAGUCUUAACCAUAAACUAUGCCGACUAGGGAUCGGAUGAUGUUAAUUUUAAUGACUCAUUCGGCGCCUUAAC
rnacentral:rRNA from 1 species